CUGUGACCCAAAAAGCAAGUAACAGAUCAUCUGCUCGAUAACCAGGUUACAGAGAUGACUGGGCAUACCUACGUGCAUAAUCCUGGUUAGGCAUCCAGCCAACAUUCGACUCCCAUUCCAGUACGCAGUGCAAACAAAAAAAGGUUGUGCUUCGAGCAGAAGUCGGGACAGGUUUCAAGGACAAUGGCAACCACACAAGAUCCCAUUCGCCGCCACCAAAGAACAAAAUCCAGAUGUGGGUAAAAUCUUGCUAGAUUUUAUGCGCA